rnacentral:sRNA from 1 species
CGAAACUGGACAUCGCUCGAAAUGUCGACCC